rnacentral:rRNA from 1 species
GAUGAACGCUGGCGGCGUGCCUAAUACAUGCAAGUCGAGCGAAUGGAUUAAGAGCUUGCUCUUAUGAAGUUAGCGGCGGACGGGUGAGUAACACGUGGGUAACCUGCCCAUAAGACUGGGAUAACUCCGGGAAACCGGGGCUAAUACCGGAUAACAUUUUGAACCGCAUGGUUCGAAAUUGAAAGGCGGCUUCGGCUGUCACUUAUGGAUGGACCCGCGUCGCAUUAGCUAGUUGGUGAGGUAACGGCGCACCAAGGCAACGAUGCGUAGCCGACCUGAGGGGGUGAUCGGCCACACUGGGACUGAGACACGGCCCAGACUCCUACGGGAGGCAGCAGUAGGGAAUCUUCCGCAAUGGACGAAAGUCUGACGGGGCAACGCCGCGUGAGUGAUGAAGGCUUUCGGGUCGUAAAACUCUGUUGUUAGGGAAGAACAAGUGCUAGUUGAAUAAGCUGGCACCUUGACGGUACCUAACCAGAAAGCCACGGCUAACUACGUGCCAGCAGCCGCAGUAA